GCCUGGGUGGCUCAGUCGGUUGAGCGUCCGACUUCGGCUCAGGUCACCAUCUCACGGUCUCGCGGUCCGUGGGUUCGAGCCCCGCGUCAGGCU
rfam:Felis catus isolate Cinnamon breed Abyssinian chromosome B4, whole genome shotgun sequence.